rnacentral:tRNA from 1 species
GAAAUAUUUGUUAAGUGAAAGCUGCUAACUUAAUCACUUUAAUGGUUAAAUUCCAUUUAUAUUUCU